CUGAAUGCGUGUUGAUGAUGAUGCAUAUGAAUUGCAACUUACACGUCUUCCAAACCUUUUCAGUACCCUGGCACAUGCUUUGUCCAAUGGACCAUGGAAGGGACUUUACUUGGCUGACGAGGACGCACCUCACCAGUAUCAGAGCAACAGCUGUGGGGUGUUUAUGCUGAUGGGGGACAUGCUCUCUAUCAGGAGGUGGUGGUUGGACAGCUGUUGGAGACCUUUAUGCUUGAAAGCCCUGCAGAACUAGCUGACUCCUUCUCACCCUCUCCAUCUCCCCAUCUCAGUCACACCUUCCAAUCACUAAGCAGUGAAAGCCCUGCAGGACUAGCUGGCACACCAAGCUCACCCUCUCCAUCUCCCCAUCUCAGCCACACGCUCCAAUCUGGCACAACAGAGGACAGGCCAUUCUUACCACCCGAAGUCCUUCAGCAAAUUGUACAAGAGACGCUGAGACUGGACAUGGCGAUGCUUGGCGUGUUCAACAGGGUUUCAAAAACAUUCCGAGAACUAAUCAAGCCUCUCCAUCCUUCCAUAUAUAUAUAUGACAGUUUGGCAGGGGACAUUAAGCUUAAUAAAGACAAUCUCAUAUACAAAACGGUUAGAAAGAUUUACAACAAUGCAGGCUGUGGCAGUGGCCUUGCGCUACGCCUCAAAGGCUUUUCAAAAUAGAAGAAUUGGCCAAGCGCACCCCUGGUACUGAGGCACGUUGCAUAUGGCAGGUUUGUCAUAAAAGAUGUCUGCCUAGCAUAAUGUUCUUUUAUUACUCCUUUUUCGUUUUAUUUGGGACGUCUUCUUUUGCAAUCCCUUUCAUUUGUAAAUGUACAUACUACUGUAGUAAAUGUAUC